UACGGAGGGGGUUAGCGUUGUUCGGAAUUACUGGGCGUAAAGCGCGCGUAGGCGGAUUGGAAAGUUGGGGGUGAAAUCCCGGGGCUCAACCUCGGAACUGCCUCCAAAACUAUCAGUCUAGAGGUCGAGAGAGUUGAGUGGAAUUCCGAGUGUAGAGGUGAAAUUCGUAGAUAUUCGGAGGAACUCCAGUGGCGAAGGCGGCUCACUGGCUCGAUACUGACGCUGAGUCACGAAAGCAUGGGGAGCGAACAGG
rnacentral:misc_RNA from 1 species